rnacentral:lncRNA from 1 species
UCACGUGACACUCAGGUGACACAGGUGACCCCCUCAGGUGACACUCAGGUGACACCCACAGGUGACACAGGUGACACUCAGGUGACACAGGUGACACUCAGGUGACACAGGUGACCCCCUCAGGUGACACUCAGGUGACACAGGUGACACUCAGGUGACACAGGUGACCCCCUCAGGUGACACUCAGGUGACACCCACAGGUGACACAGGUGACCCCCUCAGGUGACACAGGUGACACUCAGGUGACACAGGUGUGACACAGGUGACACACAGGUGACACAGGUGACCCCCACAGGUGACACAGGUGACACUCAUGUGACACAGGUGACACAGGUGACACAGGUGACCCCCACAGGUGACACAGGUGACCCCCACAGGUGACACAGGUGACACUCAGGUGACACUCAGGUGACACAGGUGACCCACCUGGGCCACGCCUUUAAAUAGUUGCCAAUAAAUACUGUACAGAAAUAGCCAAAUAUACACAGGGGGCGGGGCCGGGGGUCCCAACGGGGUCCCGGGGGGUCCCGGGUGACUUUGGGGGGGUCCCAGAGAGGUCCCGGGGAGUCCCAGGGGGGUCCUGGGUGACUUUGGGGGGGUCCCAGGGGGGUCCUGGGUGACUUUGGGGUCCUGGGUGGUCCCAGAAGGGUUCCGGGUGACUUUGGGGGGUCCAGGGGGGUCUCAGAGAGGUCCUGGGGAUGUCCUUGGGGGGAUCCCGGGUGACUUUGGGGGGUCCCGGGGUGUCCCAGGUGACUUUGGGGGUCGCAGGGGUGGUCCCAGGUGACUUUGGGGUGUCCUGGGGGGGUCCCAGAGAGGUCCCAGGGUGGUCCCAGGUGACUUUGGGGUGUCCAGAGGGGUCCCAAAGGGGUCCCAGGUGAUUUUGGGGGGUCCUGGGUGGUCCCAGGGGUGUCCCAGGUGAUUCUGGGGGGUCCUGGGUGGUCCCGGGGGGUCCCGGGGGGUUCUACCCCCUCGAUUCCAGCGACCUGCGGGGUGAAAUUGGGGUGGGGUCAGCGGGGUCAGGGGGCGGUUCAGGAUUUUGGGGUUUGAGAUUUUGGGACUCAGGGAUUUGGGGAUUCAGGGAUUUGGGGAUUGAGGGAUUUGGGGAUUGAGGGAUUUGGGAAUUCUGGGAUUUGGGAAUUCUGGGAUUUGGGCACUCAGGGAUUUGGGGAUUCGGGGAUUUGGGGAUUCGGGGAUUUUGGAAUUCAGGGAUUUGGGAAUUCUGGGAUUUGGGGACUUGGGGAUUUGGGACUCAGGGAUUUGGGGAUUGAGGGAUUUGGGAUUCAGGGAUUUGGGGACUGAUGGAUUUUGGGAUUCAGGGAUUUGGGCACUCGGGGAUUUGGGGACUUGGGGAUUUGGGGAUUGAGGAAUUUUGGGGAUUCAGGGAUUUGGGGACUCAG